ACUAUUAUCAUCCCAUUUCACAGUUGCGGAAGCAUCAGAAAGGUGAAGCCACCCGCCUAAGACCGAAGAGCUAGAAGCAAAAGAGCCAAAUUUCAAAACUGCAAAGUGUUCCUGACCUCUGGGCUGUCCUGCUUCCUGGAAAUUGCUUGGGCAGUGCGCUCCAUCUUCCUGGGGCAUUUAACCCACAAGUUUGCUAGCAGCCAUGUUUUCAAGCUGCAACAACUACUUCUUGGAUGCCUAUGAAGCCAUUAUACAGAUGAGGAAACAGGCUCAGAGAGGCUAAGCAUGUUGUUCAAGGUCACACAGCAUGGAAGAGGCAAGCCGACUGACUCCAGAGCCUUAGCUUUGUGCCAGUCAGAAUGGAAAAGAACUCCAAAAGACACCAACCUGGUUUAUUCAAGUGCUGGCAUGUAAGGAUAAGGAAAAGCAGCCAUCAGUUUGAAUGACAGGCGAUGGGUCCGGAGUAAUUAGCCAAAUGUAUGAAGAUUUCACCAUUUCUAAACCAUCCUGUUAUAUGACCACACAUACCAUCUUCAUGGAAGUGCAGUAGCAUCACCAUGACAACUACUUUUGUGUUUUUACCUCUAAUGUAAUCGAUUG
rnacentral:lncRNA from 1 species